rnacentral:rRNA from 1 species
UGGCUGUUCGCCAUUUAAAGUGGUACGCGAGCUGGGUUUAGAACGUCGUGAGACAGUUCGGUCCCUAUCUGCCGUGGGCGCUGGAGAACUGAGGGGGGCUGCUCCUAGUACGAGAGGACCGGAGUGGACGCAUCACUGGUGUUCGGGUUGUCAUGCCAAUGGCACUGCCCGGUAGCUAAAUGCGGAAGAGAUAAGUGCUGAAAGCAUCUAAGCACGAAACUUGCCCCGAGAUGAGUUCUCCCUGACUCCUUGAGAGUCCUGAAGGAACGUUGAAGACGACGACGUUGAUAGGCCGGGUGUGUAAGCGCAGCGAUGCGUUGAGCUAACCGGUACUAAUGAACCGUGAGGCUUAACCUUACAACGCCGAAGCUGUU